GACGAACGCUGGCGGCGUGCCUAAUACAUGCAAGUAGAACGCACAGUUUAUACCGUAGCUUGCUACACCAUAGACUGUGAGUUGCGAACGGGUGAGUAACGCGUAUGUAACCUGCCUGGUAGCGGGGGAUAACUAUUGGAACGGAUAUCUAAUACCGCAUAAUAUUGAUUAUUGCAUGAUAAUUGAUUGAAAGAUGCUAUUGCAUCACUACCAGAUGGACCGGCGUUGUAUUAGCUAGUAGGCGAGGUAACGGCUCAACUAGGCGACGAUACAUAGCCGACCUGAGGGGGUGGACCGCCACCAUGGGACUGGGAAACGGCCCAGACUCCUACGGGAGGCAGCAGUAGGGAAACUUCGGCAAUGGGCGGAAGUCUGACCGAGCAACGCCGCGUGAGUGAAGAAGGUUUUCGGAUCGUAAAGCUCUGUUGUAAGAGAAGAACGGGUGUGAGAGUGGAAAGUUCACACUGUGACGGUAUCUUACCAGAAAGCGACGGCUAACUACGUG
rnacentral:rRNA from 1 species